rnacentral:misc_RNA from 1 species
AAAUGCGAUAAGUAAGGUGAAUUGCAGAAUUCAGUGAAUCAUCGAAUCUUUGAACGCACCUUGCGCUCCUUGGUAUUCCUUGGAGCAUGCCUGUUUGAGUAUCAUGAAAUCUUCAAAGUAAAUCUUUUGUUAACUCAAUUGGUUUCUACUUUGGUAUUGGAGGUCUUUGCAGCUUCACACCUGCUCCUCUUUGUUCAUUAGCUGGAUCUCAGUGUUAUGCUUGGUUCCACUCGGCGUGAUAAGUUAUCUAUCGCUGAGGACACUGUAAAAGGUGGCCAAGGUAAAUGCAGAUGAACCGCUUCUAAUAGUCCAUUGACUUGGACAAUACUUUUAUGAUCUGAUCUCAAAUCAGGUAGGACUACCCGCUGAACUUAAGC